GAGAGAGAGAUGAGUAAGCUACAGCACCAUAGACAAGAAAAGAUGCAAAGAGUUGGUAGCUAAAUCUGAAUAAAACAAGUUUUGGUGAAGGCAAAAUAAAAAAUUAAAAAAAAAGGGCUGAAUCAUCCAACUUAUAUUUUGGGUCAUUUUAGGUUGAACUAAUUUGAGUUUGGCAGCUAGAAUGCAAAGUCAAACUCAUUUAUGCAGAUGGAUUUGGAUUGGGAUACUUCAUUUUCCUUGAAAAAACCCAAGGCUGAUUCAAGUCAAGUUAAUGCAAGUUUCAGUAGAAAGUGCCCAACCUGAAACCAAUGGUCCCACUUUAUUAAUCAGAUCUGGUUUGAGCAAAUAAAAUUCAUAAACAUUCUAUUCAAGGAAAAACUGAUAAUUCCACAUUUAUCAUUGAUUUUCCAAAUGAAAUCCUGAAUUUAAUAUUCAAUUUUCAAGCUGAUAUAAAAAUCAAGGAAUACUGCACGAACAGCAGCCAAUUUUUUUCAAAAAGCAAGCUUUCUCAUCGUUAACUUAGGACUUGAGGCAAGAGUUUUCAUCUGAUGUAUGCCACAACCACAAGCAGAUGUGUUAAUGCAAAUGUGCUUCUUAUCUUUUAUUUAAUUAUUCUUUUUCCGUGUGUAUGCAUAAGCACAUCAAAAGUACAUAUUAUAAAGGUCUUAAUGCAUCUUAGCUGUCAUGAUAAAAGAGAUCCUAUAAUUCCAAU
rnacentral:misc_RNA from 1 species